rnacentral:rRNA from 1 species
GACGAACGCUGGCGGCACGCCUAACACAUGCAAGUCGAGCGGCAGCACGGGUAGUAGCAAUACUACUGGGUGGCGAGCGGCGGACGGGUGAGGAACACGUAGGAACUUGCCCAAUAGAGGGGGAUAACUAAGGGAAACUUUAGCUAAUACCGCAUAUACUCGAGAGAGGAAAGCUGCCUGUGAGGGUGGCGCUAUUGGAGAGGCCUGCGUCCGAUUAGCUAGUUGGUGAGGUAAAGGCUCACCAAGGCAGGGAUCGGUAACUGGUCUGAGAGGAGGACCAGGCACACUGGGACUGAGAGCCGGCCCAGACUCCUACGGGAGGCAGCAGUGGGGAAUCUUGGACAAUGGGGGCAACCCUGAUCCAGCGAUGCCGCGUGAGUGAAGAAGGCCUUCGGGUCGUAAAGCUCUUUAGGUCGGGAGGAAGGUAGGUAGUUUAAGAGAUAAUCUAUUUGACUGUACCGAUGGAAUAAGCACCGGCAAACUCUGUGCCAGCAGCCGCGGUAA